GUUCCCAAGCAUAUUUGAGACACAGGUUUGGAAACAAAAAUGACUUCACCAGUUAAAUAUUGUUAGAUCCUAUAGUAUAUCAAAGGGCUCUUGUUGGGCAGAAAAGACCAAGUUGGGAACUGUUAUUGCCAAGUUCCACAUCCAAAAGAUGCUUUGGAGGGGAGAUCUGUGACCACAAGCAGCAAUGUGAAACCACCCAGAUGCAGAUAAAUUGCCAUUCUCUCUCGCUGCACAGAGAAAUUGGGUCCUAAUGGUACAGCAAUUACUUUGUUUCCAUGGCAA